CACCGCUUAUAAAUUUACAUGAAUUACGUACCUACUUACACUUACAGACAGACAAACGAAACACGAAUUAUUGUCAAGUGUUAAGUGUUUACACCUCUACUCGAACACAGUGAAAUUCCUUAAUUUAGAUGAUGAAAUGAAACACGGUUCGCGUUCAUUAUCGAAGUGUGCGAGUUAAGUUUGCAUCGAAUAUUCUCCAUUAGGACUAGGACAAGAGCAACGAGAUGAAGUCUACAUCAAUAUUCACCUAUACCAUCGCAGAUUUUACGACUAUAAGGUCAAGAUUCUCAAGAAAACUAUACGAAUAGACACGAUUAGAAGAUGGAUAUUAGCGAAUAGCAGAUUCCUAUCACGAUUACCUAUAUACCAACGUCAAUGUGUGCAGAACAGAUACCCUCCAGGUGUAACCUUUUUGCUGAUGCAAGCGUGCUGGUUAUUUGGACAUUUUCGAUGCCUGUGCAUAGGUAAGUAAGAACGAUGAUUGUGAUGUUUUGAUCGUACCUUUUUUCGGCCGAAUAUUCCUUUCGGUUUUGCAGGAGGUUGUUGCGAAUGCGAAGAAGGCAUAAUCCACACCGCACGAUAAACAAUAGGAGCGUAACUCACAACACCGACACAGUUUCAAAAUAUUUUUAUUUCACU